rnacentral:rRNA from 1 species
UUGGAGGGCAAGUCUGGUGCCAGCAGCCGCGGUAAUUCCAGCUCCAAUAGCGUAUAUUAAAGUUGUUGCAGUUAAAAAGCUCGUAGUUGAAUUUCGGGGUUUAUCCGUUGGUCGGGCUUUUGGGUCUGUACUGGCGUGAUGAAUUCCUACCUUCUGAAUAACCAGCAUGUCAUUAAUUUGGUGCGCCGGGGAAGCAGGACUGUUACCUUGAAAAAAUUAGAGUGCUUAAAGCAGGCUAUCGCCUGAAUACAUUAGCAUGGAAUAAUGAAAUAGGACGGCAUGGUUCUAUUUUGUUGGUUUCUAGGAUCACCGUAAUGAUUAAUAGGGAUAGUUGGGGGCAUUAGUAUUCAAUUGUCAGAGGUGAAAUUCUUGGAUUUAUUGAAGACUAACUUCUGCGAAAGCAUUUGCCAAGGAUGUUUUCAUUAAUCAAGAACGAAAGUUAGGGGAUCGAAGACGAUCAGAUACCGUCGUAGUCUUAACCAUAAACUAUGCCGACUAGGGAUCGGACGAUGUUAAUUUUUUAAUGACUCGUUCGGCGCCUUACGGGAAAC